GCUAGAUUUUUUGAAAGUCCCAAGAGAAGUGGUGGUCUUCCCUUCUGUCAUCCCAGUAUAUAUAGUUAUACAUGUAAAUAUCUAAAUACCCCAUGGUGUGCUGGUGGCUCAGCUUUGGGGUUGGACUCCCACGUUCACCUCCCCCUCCUGGUCCAGGCAGAGGCACCAGAACCCAUCCUGCCUUUUCUCCAGUGUGAGCAUUUCAGGGAGCCACCAUCAGCCUUGGGUUCAUGAGAGGAAGAAACCCCCAAAGACCAAUGCCUGGAGCCCACUUCUCCAGCGACACCUUCCCUCGCCAGAGCAGGCUCCUAGGAGUGCAUGGCAGGGGUGCCGGGUCCCUGUGCACGGGUUUGCUUUCUGAACAUUGCCCAUCAACACCGCCUUCAGGGAGUCCCAGA
rnacentral:lncRNA from 1 species